rnacentral:rRNA from 1 species
AGUCGCGUGCAGAAGACGCUUUGGGUGUAAACUGCUUUUAGGCGGGAAUAAUAAGCAUCAUGCGUGGUGCGUUGCAGGUACCGUCAGAAUAAGCAUCGGCUAACUCCGUGCCAGCAGCCGCGGUAAUACGGAGGAUGCGAGCGUUAUCCGGAUUUAUUGGGUUUAAAGGGUGCGUAGGUUGGCGAUUAAGUCAGCGGUGAAAGUUUGUUGCUUAACGACAGAAUUGCCGUUGAAACUGGUUGUCUUGAGUAUGCUUGGGGCAGGCGGAAUGCGGGGUGUAGCGGUGAAAUGCAUAGAUAUUCCGCAGAACUCCGAUCGCGAAGGCAGCUUGCCAAAUCAAUACUGACACUGAAGCACGAAAGCGUGGGUAUCGAACAGGAUUAGAUACCCUGGUAGUCCACGCUGUAAACGAUGAUUACUGGCUGUUUGCCUGUAGAGGUAAGCGGCAAAGCGAAAGCGUUAAGUAAUCCACCUGGGGAGUACGCCGGCAACGGUGAAACUCAAAGGAAUUGACGGGGGCCCGCACAAGCGGAGGAACAUGUGGUUUAAUUCGAUGAUACGCGAGGAACCUUACCCGGGAUUGAACGCAGGGGGAAUUACUGUGAAAGCGGUAAGCCAGCAAUGGUCGCCUGCGAGGUGCUGCAUGGUUGUCGUCAGCUCGUGCCGUGAGGUGUCGGCUUAAGUGCCAUAACGAGCGCAACCCCUGCCGCCAGUUACCAUCGAGUAAAGUUGGGGACUCUGGCGGGACUGCCGGCGCAAGCCGCGAGGAAGGCGGGGAUGACGUCAAAUCAGCACGGCCCUUACAUCCGGGGCGACACACGUGUUACAAUGGCGCGGACAAAGGGCAGCGACCUGGUGACAGGAAGCGAAUCUCCAAACCGCGUCCCAGUUCGGAUCGGAGUCUGCAACUCGACUCCGUGAAGCCGGAUUCGCUAGUAAUCGCGCAUCAGCCAUGGCGCGGUGAAUACGUUCCCGGGCCUUGUACACACCGCCCGUCAAGCCAUGGGAGCCGGGGGUGCCUGAAGUUCGUGACCGCGAGGAUCGACCUAGGUAA